rnacentral:lncRNA from 1 species
GCCUCCUAUAUUUGUUCCGGAGACGAGAGACGAUGGUGUGCAUGAUGACCUCUUCAAAGCCCAGUGGUCACUAGGUCCUCGUCACUCCUCCAUGUAUGCACCCCACACAGGGAAAUGAAACAGAAAGGAGAUAUGUUUUGAGAGCUGUCCAAGGAGACUUGCUGCGGGGCUGGAUGGGAGAGCAGGACCCUGAAAACCCCCAAAGCAGGAAUAACAGCUAACACUUAUUGACUGGAAUCUGAGCUCACUAAAAGCCUCCAUCCUGGAGUUGCUGGCUCUGUCACCGCUGAGAUGAGUCUGCAUGUCCUGCAGUUUUGACUUCAAACCAACAUCUGUGGUCAGCUCUCCACUCCCUGCCAAUACAGCCAGCACUGUUCUGACAGCAGUCACUAAGCUUGAGGUUCAGUAGCACUGGGGGUGUGUACCGGGGGCCCUGUUGAAUGGGUCUUCUAGGAGAC